rnacentral:miRNA from 1 species
GAAGCGCAGUGGAGGUCUGU